UAGGGUUGGACUAAAAAAUCCUUAGGAUAGGAUAGAUUGAUACCCGGGGGUUGACCGUUUGUGAAACAGGGUCAAAAUCAGACCUCUAGCCACUAAAACGACGGCCUAGGGCAAAAUAGGAUUUCAUUCAAAGAUCAAAAUUCAGGAUUUGAGAGCUAGCUUGAAGUUCUUUUUAGAGACAUAAGAAUUUUUUUAAGAAGGUUUUGGAGGAGUUAGCAAUUAUUGUUCAAAGUUAGGGUUUAUAUCAAUGAUUUGGAUUUUAUAUAAUAUAAUUAGAGCUAGUAAUUUUGGCUAGUUUGUGCAAUUGGCAUAACAUCUACAGUUGAAAAUUUAAUAUUAUUUGGAUCAUUGCGUUUGCUAAGUGUAUACAAAAUUUUGUGAUAAUGUAAUGGGGUGGUUUAGAGAUAUCUAGCUUUAAGCACAAGAGGGUUUCAAAAGGUGGCAGUUUGAGGUUGGGUAGGAUUUCUAUGAUAUUUGAAGAUCUAUUGGUCGGAUUAAGGUGAAAAUUGGCAUGGUGUUGGAAGACUUAAAGACCAAGCAACACACCAAUUUUGAAACAAAGUUAACUAUUGAAGAAGG
rnacentral:lncRNA from 1 species